GCAUUUACCAGCUGCGCACAUCCACCGUUGGAAGGAGAGGCAAGAAACAAGGAGUGGCUGGAACCAGGAUCACCAGCAGCCACUAAACUGGAGAGUGUAGCUGCCAGGAAAGCACUGGUAAAGGAUAUUCGACAAUUGUCACCUCAGCAUCAGACAUUCUCCCUGGAGGCCUACCAUUCCCUUAUUCUGCACUUUGCUCCCAAACACACUGGCUUUUCUUUUCUUGGGAUGUACAGCAGACUUCUCUUGGCAGCCCUACAUUUCAAUAGUAAUGGCAACAGAGAUGUAGCGCGUACUAGUGAGGGUGAGGUACGCUACGCUGUUCGCUACCCACGGUU